GUUGAACGCUGGCGGCGUGCCUAAUACAUGCAAGUCGAGCGAUCACAGGAGGAGCUUUCCUCUUUUGCUUUAGCGUCGCACGCGUGAGUGACAUGUGUGGAACACUGCUAGAUGACUGGGAAAACCUCCUGAAACCGGUGCUAAUACCGGCAUAUCGUUUCAACAGCAUGGAGCAAGAGUGAAGGACGGCCUUCCUUCGGCUGUUCGCUGAUUCCGCUCUGCAUUAGCUAGUAGGUAGGGUAACGGCUUACCAAGGCAACGAUGCCUAGCCGAUCUGAGAGGGUGACCAGCCACACUGGAACUGAGACACGGUCCAGACUCCUACGGGAGGCAGCAGUGGGGAAUCUUGCGCAAUGGGCGAAAGCCUGACGCAGCCAUGCCGCGUGAAUGAUGAAGGUCUUCGGAUCGUAAAACACUGUUAGCAGGGAAGAAGAUAGGAGAAAGAAUCUCUUUACACAUUGACGUUACCUAAACAGAAAGCCACGGCUAACUCCGUG
rnacentral:rRNA from 1 species